UCCAGUGGUUCGACACUCGUCCUUCGUCCCCUAAACCCAGACACACCUCGACACCACGAACGGGUCUGGGCUGUCAAAACACGCGACGGCGUGUUGAGUUCCAAUAACUUGCACAAUGAUUAAUGAGCGGCUUGAUAAUUUAAUACCGCGUAUGAUUAAAUUAUAAGGCGUGGGGGAGGGGAGCCUGGGCGGACGCCGCGGAGCGAGCGGUUCGCCGCUACGCGCAAAGCCGCGCUCACCCUCUGCGCAGCGCUCUGCAAAGCUCCGAGAGCUGUGGGUCCGCGCCUUCCAAGAAGGAACCAGGGCAUCAAGAAUAUGCUGGAGGAUUGGAGGCCACUGAGGUUGAGGGAAGGAGAACUGGGAAGGAAGGUCCCUGCGAACACGUCUCCCUCAUGUCAGCCAGGCCAGUUGUCCAGGAGACAUUCUGAAUAAUGCCUCAUCCUGGAAGUGGCUUGUGUUCUCAUGGACAGCGGAGAAAAAUGGAAACAUGAGCCAAAGGAAGAUUCCAGAACCUAGGAACAUGUUUGUGCGGGUCUGCAGACAGCAGACAGACAUCCCUCCAUUCUCUGAGAGCCACUCUUCUGUGUUAUGACUGGACCCGUAGUCACUAGGUUUCCAAAGGCAGAGUAAGUCUGUGGGAAAACUGACCCCUGGUGUCCACAGGGAGUGGAGUAGGUAUUAUUUGUUGUAUUUUAGUAGGACCUUUAGUGGAAUCACUAAAGGAAGAUCAGCUGACAACUAGGAUGAGUAUAAGAGCUGAAAAGUGACUUUCACGGCUGUCCCUGGUAACUAGAAUACGUCUAUAGCUUCCUGAAUAGACAACCCCACCCUACUUUUUUUCUUUCUUCUUUGGCCGCAUCUAUGGCAUAUGGAAGUUCCAGGGCCAGGGCUUGAAUCUGAGCCACAGCUUUGACU
rnacentral:lncRNA from 1 species